rnacentral:lncRNA from 1 species
UGGUUAUGUGUGCAUGAAAAUAUUACCUUGAUGGAUUGUGAAAGAGUUCUCGUGAUCUUUGUUCAAGGAUCCCUAAUUCGUCUGUAGUUAAACGAUCACGAUUACCUGGAAACGAGUGGUCAUGGAGACUAGAGACGUGCCGUGAGCGAGAGUUCAUGGGAAACAAUCAAAGAAGAUGAGGAGGAGUUAUAUAAAUUAUAAUAGCUGCAAGCAACACAUAAUGAGCACACAGAAUCACUCAAGAGUAAGCUGCGAUUGCACUUGCAGCACCUUUUUUUAAGUUUCAGACACAAAAUUAACAUCUAAGCCGUAAUGCUAUGAAUGCAGAUCUAUGCUUUUUUUCAUCUUGCCAGGAACUUACAGCUAUGAAUGCAGAUCUAUGCACAGCUAUGAAUGCAGAUCUAUGCUUUGCUUCUUUUCAUCUUGCCAGGA